rnacentral:rRNA from 1 species
UACAGAGGUGGCAAGCGUUGUUCGGAAUUACUGGGCGUAAAGGGCGCGUAGGCGGUUCGAUAAGUCCCGUGUGAAAUCCCUCGGCUCAACUGAGGAACUGCACGGGAAACUGACGGGCUUGAGUUCGGGAGAGGGAAGCGGAAUUCCGGGUGUAGCGGUGAAAUGCGUAGAUAUCCGGAGGAACACCAGUGGCGAAGGCGGCUUCCUGGCCUAGUACUGACGCUGUGGCGCGAAAGCUAGGGGAGCAAACGGG